rnacentral:misc_RNA from 1 species
GAUGAAGAACGUAGCGAAAUGCGAUACGUAAUGUGAAUUGCAAAUUCAGUGAAUCAUCGAGUCUUUGAACGCACAUUGCGCCCCCUGGUAUUCCGGGGGGCAUGCCUGUCCGAGCGUCAUUGCUGCCCUCAAGCACGGCUUGUGUGUUGGGCCCCGUCCUCCGAUCCCGGGGGACGGGCCCGAAAGGCAGCGGCGGCACCGCGUCCGGUCCUCGAGCGUAUGGGGCUUUGUCACCCGCUCUGUAGGCCCGGCCGGCGCUUGCCGAUCAACCCAAAUUUUUAUCCAGGUUGACCUCGGAGCAGGUAGGGAUACCCGCUGAACUUAAGCAUAUCAAUAAGCGGAGGA